CGUCUCCAUAACUCAAACUGGUGGUGCCCAGCUCCUAGUACCAGCUGCUCUGGGAAGCAUCGUGCUGGAAGUUCCUGGAUAGAGUGGGAGAAAAAUGUGCAACCAAACCCUAAAUCGCAAAAGAGACCAGGCCUACUGAUGGGCUAGAGAUUGACCAACACCCACCCCUCCCUCCCAGACUACGGUCCUUAGUCACUUUUAGGUUCUAAACAAUGGGACCUAGGAAGUCAACAGAUGGAGAAGAAAAUGUCAGCUUUCUUACCGAUGAGGACUAUAUUGGACGAGAUGGCUUCAGGGUGAUUGCCACGACAGGACUCCUCUUUUGGUUCUGAGGACUCCUCUUAAUGGUCAUUUUCCUCGUGGUUUUUCACACUCCCCUGAAGUGGCCACAUUUUCAGUCGUGGAUUUUGCCACAGCCCCACCAUGCGGCUUUGCAUGCUUUCCAAGGAUAGCGUGUACUAUCUACAACUUCUGUCAAGGUUGAGAAGUAAGAACCAAGGUCAACCAUCCCAGGAACGGAACAGCCACAUAAACUCACGCGCUUCUCCAGAAUGAACUGACCCAGUUAUUACUGCAGGCUUCAUUGUGUGGGGAUCUGUCUCCACCAAAGGUACACUGCGACUGGCGCUCUUUACAGGAAGAGAAAGCUUUCUCUUUCUCCCACAGAGAGGUGGGUGCUUUUGACCUACUGACCUUGCACUUAGCAACCCAGCGUGUAACCACCAUGCCACCAGGGCUCCUCAAAUGUCUGGACUAGAAGAACGUAAAGUAGCUGACCCUUUAUUCAAAGAGAAUAGGAGUUCAACUGGACAUAUUCCGAUCAUUCUUUCAACCCACUCCCGGAGCCCAUGUGUGUGAGAGGUGGGUGGGAGAGAGGCCAGACAGAAAUCUCUAGUGGCUUUUCCAAUGUUAGUGGUCAUCAGAGUCAUUUGGUGACCAUAUUGGUAUGCAGAUUGCAUCCUCCCAAAUCCUAAUUCAGGAAGUCUCUGAUAAAAUCACUACUGCUCCCUGACUACAAGUCAAUUCCGACUCACAGCGACCCAGUAGGACAGAGUAGAACUGCCCCUGUGGAUUUGCACAAGUUGUGGAUUUCUCCGGAAGUCUUUCUCCCAAGUCGGAUAGGGUCUGAGCAUACAUUUUUUUUAAACUCCCAGGUGAGGGUGAUACUGCUGCUGCUGCAGCUGCUAGUGAUCUAGGGUCCACAUUUUGAGAACCACUAUUCUAAGGAAACUCUCUCCCUAAAAAAUAAGGAAUGGAAAUAAGUAGAGCUCUUGAUUGUCAGGGUUUAUUUGUCAAUGACAGGAAAACAACUCAAAUUGAAAAUGUUUCAAAAUUAUUUUUUCAUGUAACUAAGUUACGAUCCAGCAGUAGACCUAAUUUUGAGCAUGAAUAGACUACAUGACUCAAAUGUUGACUUCAGGACUCUUAUUCUCUACAGCUCUCAGCCCUGUUUUGUAUGGCUUCCAUGUCUAGUAGGGUUUCCCCUGGUGUUGGCAAGAUGACUCCAUUCUCUCCCCCAAACCAAGUAUUGCUCAACUGUCAGCAUGAAUCAGAGUCACUUAGAGACCUGGUUACAGUACAGAUUUCUGGGAACCCACCUCCUGAGUUUCUAAGUUAAUAAGCCUGGAGUCAAACGCAAGAAACUCAUGUCUAGCAAUUUCGCAAGAAAUAUUCAAAAUGCCCGGUGGUGCAGUGGUUAAGUGUUGGCCUGCUAACUACAAGGUUGGCAGUUUAAACCUACCAGCUGCUCCUUGGGAGAUAGAUGAGGCUAUCUGCUCCUCUGCUAUUUAAGGUCUCGAGAACCCUGUGUAGCGUCACUAUGAGUUGGAAUUGAUUCUAUGGUAGUGGGUCUGGUUUGGUGGUUUUAUGGUGCUACGGGGACCAUGUGCAACUGGGACAUGCCUCUCCUGACAUGUCCAAAGUAUGCAAAAUGAAGUCUCACCAUUGUUGCCUCGAAGGAGUACUCUGGCCGUACUUCUUCCAAGGAUAGAUUAGAUUGGUAUAAUAGGAAGAACAUGGCUUUCCCCAGCCCAUCCCCAAACCAUUUUAUUAGGAGCUAAUCUAGAAAUCAUACCAUUCCAUCAUUCACUCACACCAAGCAGUAUUAUACAAUUGCUACCAACAUCUAUUUCAAAACAUUUUCUUCCUUCUUGAACUCCGUGGUAUCAGGGGCAUGGCUUUUGAAUUAAGAUGACUUCAAGUCCCAUCCUCACUACUGACCCACUGAAUGUCUGAGGAGCAGGUCAGUAAAACCACUCUGAGCCUCUGUAGGCAUUUCAGAUGGAAAUAACAACAAUAGCAGGAGGGUGGAAUGAGGGUGGUACCUUUUUAAAUAGCUUACCUACUUGAAAAAAAUUAAUAACUAAAAUAUUUUUAAAUGAAUGUACAAAUCAUUUUCUACACAUAACUUACCUUGAGUUAUUUCAGAACACCAUUUGUUUUUGCAACAUUAAAUAUAAUUAUGAUUGUGAGUUUCUACAAAUGCAGACAAAUUGUUGCAUGUCCAAAAUAUACAUAUCAGCCCCCUUUGGCUUUCAAGAAGUAUAGGCUGUGUGCUAAUUAACCAGGGAUGAAAAGAAAUGAAAAUCAGGGAAGGCCGUAGAGGAGCCGAGAGUCACACUUUGAGGGUUUAGAAGCUCUCAUUACAAGUAUCAUCGUCUGUGUUUUUCUAACUGGUGAUUGUCUGGUGUGUACUGCCUAUUAAGCCACAUGAGACAGACGGGUACUAUUAACAUCCUACUUUGACAGGUAAGGUGCCUACGGCUCGGGAGGGGAAAGGAUCACAUAAGGGGAAGCUGUUUUUGAUCUCAGGGCUGUCGGACCUCAAGGCAAGAUAAAUGCUAUCAUCCCUUGGGUGCUCCUCAUUGGAGAUGUAGACCAAUCACAGUCCCCCAAGGUCUAGGUCUGAAAGUAUCAAGUGAGGAGAAGCAAGUCCGUGCCAUCUGGUCUUGGCACAGGUGUUCGUGCGCGAUGGAGACUGGGCACAGGAAUCUGGAAGAGAACCCUGCUUGCCACACUCCUGUCUGUGGCUGAACCACACCAGUGCCUGAGUCGUCACACAGCCAGGACCGGAGCUGGAGAAUACUUUUUGACAAACAUUUAGUAAAUACUGUCAGGUGGCCAGAAUAGGGACCAGGGUGUCUACUGGGCAUGCUCCAAAUUCAGGCUCCCAGGCAGGAAGGGGCGGUACACCGAGGUGAGGGGCACAUCUGGGUGGGCCCCAAUCUGAGCCAGGUGAGCUUAAUUCAGCCAACAGGGUCAACCAGGACCGUUCACCACACCUCCCAACGGGCCGGAAAAGCCAGGAUCCGAAGCCCCCUUCCUUCCCAGCUGCUCCCCCUUCCCAGGCUGCGACACUUCUCUGUCCUCAGUUUUCCAUGCGCGGGUGAGAAGUGCCCUGAGGGCACCUGUGUAAAACCGGAACCGUCUUCUGUCCUUUAUAACA